rnacentral:rRNA from 1 species
AGUGAACGCUGGCGGUAGGCCUAACACAUGCAAGUCGAACGGCAGCACAGAGGAGCUUGCUCCUUGGGUGGCGAGUGGCGGACGGGUGAGGAAUACAUCGGAAUCUACUCUGUCGUGGGGGAUAACGUAGGGAAACUUACGCUAAUACCGCAUACGACCUACGGGUGAAAGCAGGGGAUCUUCGGACCUUGCGCGAUUGAAUGAGCCGAUGUCGGAUUAGCUAGUUGGCGGGGUAAAGGCCCACCAAGGCGACGAUCCGUAGCUGGUCUGAGAGGAUGAUCAGCCACGCUGGAACUGAGAAACGGUCCAGACUCCUACGGGAGGCAGCAGUGGGGAAUAUUGGACAAUGGGCGCAAGCCUGAUCCAGCCAUACCGCGUGGGUGAAGAAGGCCUUCGGGUUGUAAAGCCCUUUUGUUGGGAAAGAAAUCCAGCUGGUUAAUACCCGGUUGGGAUGACGGUACCCAAAGAAUAAGCACCGGCUAACUUCGUGCCAGCAGCCGCCGUAA